ACGGCAAUAAUGCGUUGAAACAACGGUUCCCGUACUAUCACUGAAGUUAAGCAACGUUGCGCCUGGUCAGAACCUAUAUGGUUGAUCACUUGGGAAUAUUAGGUGCAGA